rnacentral:rRNA from 1 species
UACGAAGGGGGCUAGCGUUGCUCGGAAUGACUGGGCGUAAAGGGCGCGUAGGCGGCGAUCACAGUCAGAUGUGAAAUUCCUGGGCUUAACCUGGGGGCUGCAUUUGAUACGUGGUUGCUUGAGUGGGGAAGAGGGUCGUGGAAUUCCCAGUGUAGAGGUGAAAUUCGUAGAUAUCGGGAAGAACACCCGUGGCGAAGGCGGCUCUCUGGAACGCAACUGACGCUGAGACGCGAAAGCGUGGGGAGCAAACAGG